UACGGGGGGGGCAAGCGUUGUUCGGAAUUACUGGGCGUAAAGGGCGCGUAGGCGGUUCGCUAAGUCGGAUGUGAAAACUCUGGGCUCAACCCAGAGCCUGCAUCCGAAACUGGCGGGCUAGAGUUCUGGAGGGGGUAGCGGAAUUCCUGGUGUAGCGGUGAAAUGCGUAGAUAUCGGGAGGAACAUCAGUGGCGAAGGCGGCUACCUGGCCCAAUACUGACACUCAGGUGCGACAGCGUGGGGAGCAAACAGG
rnacentral:rRNA from 1 species